GAGGGUACAGCUCAGUGGGAGAGCACAUGCUUAGAAUGCACCAGGUCCUGGGUUCAGUCCCCAGUACAUCCA
rfam:Camelus ferus unplaced genomic scaffold scaffold4962, whole genome shotgun sequence.